rnacentral:sRNA from 1 species
AGUGGUAGUUGAACGAGUGUCUUCGUCGUCCUUGCUUGCCAUUUCAGCU